CAGUAGCCGCGGGAAUACGUAGGUGGCAAGCGUUGUCCGGAAUUAUUGGGCGUAAAGGGCUCGCAGGCGGUUUCUUAAGUCUGAUGUGAAAGCCCCCGGCUCAACCGGGGAGGGUCACUGGAAACUGGGAAACUUGAGUGCAGAAGAGGAGAGUGGAAUUCCACGUGUAGCGGUGAAAUGCGUAGAGAUGUGGAGGAACACCAGUGGCGAAGGCGACUCUCUGGUCUGUAACUGACGCUGAGGAGCGAAAGCGUGGGGAGCGAACAGGAUUAGAUACCCCUGUAGUCCCUGUCUCUUAUAA
rnacentral:rRNA from 1 species